GCUCCCCGCCAUUCCUUCCAAGUUUAGUACUUGUGCAUACUUCCAAAUUCUGGUUGAUCCUGCCAGAGGUCACUGCUAUCGGGGUUCGAUUAAGCCAUGCGAGUCGAGAGGGUUCGGCCCUCGGCGUACGGCUCACUAACACGUGGAUAACCUGCCCUUGGGUCUGGGAUAACCCCGGGAAACUGGGGAUAAUACUGGAUAACGCAUAUGUGCUGGAAUGCUUUAUGCGUAAAACGGAUUCGUCCGCCCAAGGAUGGGUCUGCGGCCUAUCAGGUAGUAGUGGGUGUAAUGUACCUACUAGCCAACAACGGGUACGGGUUGUGAGAGCAAGAGCCCGGAGAUGGAUUCUGAGACAUGAAUCCAGGCCCUACGGGGCGCAGCAGGCGCGAAAACUUUACAAUGCGGGAAACCGUGAUAAGGGAACACCGAGUGCCAGCAUCAUAUGCUGGCUGUCCAGAUGUGUAAACUACAUCUGUUAGCAAGGGCCGGGCAAGACCGGUGCCAGCCGCCGCGGUAACACCGGCGGCCCGAGUGGUGACCGUUAUUAUUGGGUCUAAAGGGUCCGUAGCCGGUUUGGUCAGUCCUCCGGGAAAUCUGAUAGCUUAACUGUUAGGCUUUCGGGGGAUACUGCCAGGCUUGGAACCGGGAGAGGUAAGAGGUACUACAGGGGUAGGAGUGAAAUCCUGUAAUCCUCGAGGGACCACCUGUGGCGAAGGCGCCUCACCA
rnacentral:rRNA from 1 species